GUGCACAUGCCAUAUUAUUUGCAUCACCUUCUCCACUUCCGCAUCUUUCACAUAACACAGUGUAUGAUUGGAGUUUACAGCUAAUUAUGUCGAGAAUUGAUGGUUUCUUUUAUGAAUGUGAAUUAUUUUUUUGUUUAAACGAAUCAUUAAAACGUUUACGAGUGUAUUAUUGUUUUCUCCUCUUGUUUCAAAGAGAAUGAGUACUAUUUAGAGGUAGGUAUGCAUAGUACUGUGAUAUAGAUAUUGUGAUAUAUUGCACAAAAAAAAAGAUAUUAUGAUAGACAUAGAGCGCUGUGCGUACUCGACUUGUAGCUACUAAAUACUUAAUAAUAUAGAUGUUUUUUUGCUUUUCGAAAAAAAAAUUAAAAACUUCAAAUUUAGAGUUUUAGAACAUCUCUAAAAAGAAACUAUAUUUUGAUGUUUCUAAAACUCUAUAUUUGAAGUUUAAAAUAGUUCUUCUACAAAAUCAAAAUUUCAAACUCAACAUUAAAAUUAUUUGUACUUUGUAAUAUAGUUCUUAUAUUUGUCAUAACUGAUUUGAAUUCAUAAAACUUUUGUAAAUAACUAGCACAUAUAUUCAUAUAUUACAACAAUAUUAAUUAACAAAAUAUUAUAUUAAAAACAAAUAUUUUUUUAAAAAAACAACUUAAUUAAUAUUAAACUUCAAACAAAAUACCAUAUUAUUCCAUAAAAUGAUUUACGUCAUGCAUAUAUGAUCCACUAGUGCAUUUCGAAGUAAAAAGGGCUCUCCUCAUUUUUACUUUGUAGAUUACAAGCUAAAAGGUAUUGAAAUCGGAUGAUAUUAAUACUUGUAAAUACAUUAGAUCUGAACAAGAAAUAAAAAAAGAAACAUAAAUAUUACUAAAAGACUAAUUUUUAUCGAUGAUAUUAAUACUCGUGAAUAUAUUUGAUAUGCAAAAGAAAUAAUUGUACUAAAAAGACAUAAAAACAACAACAACCAUCUUCAGUUAAACAAAAAAAAAUUGGACAAUAUUUGAAAAUUUUGAAGGCUCCAGAUCAAACUUACCUAACUAUUAGUGUUGUUGUAAUAUUUAAAUUUGUGUAAUAGUUAUGUAUUCAUCUAAUUUUUUUAAAAAAGUUUGUUAAGUUUCUUUUGUAUAUUAUUGUUGUCUAAAUCUAGUUUAAAAUAUUUAAAAUAUUAUUUAAAAUAUUAUUUAAAAUUUUAUUUAAUUUUAAGUGUAAAACUUAAAUUUUGUAAACAAAAUUUAAAUAUUUAUGAGAUAUGGAUUAAAACAAUAAACGAGAAAUAUUUAUGAAUAAUAUAUGUGAUGUGUAAUUAUAAUGAACAAAAUGCAAAUAAAAAUAUGAAACUUCAAAUUUGAAGUUUUGAAUAGUAAAACUUCAAAUAUAGAAUUUCUCUCUUCAAAACUUCAAAUUUUAAUUUUUGAAGUUCCUUCUUAGAGAGCAAAAAACUUCAUAUUUUAAGUUAUAUAGUAUCUUUUGGAGAUGCUUUUAAGAAAUGAAACUUCAUUACUCAAAACUCUAAAUUUGAAGUUUCAUUUUUUUAUUUGCAUUUUGGUCCUUAUAAUUAAUUCUACCUCACAAUUAUGAUUCUUAAGUAUUUUCUCAUUUAAAGUUUUAAUUUUUAAACUUUUGUAUAUUUUAAAUAUUUUAAAUUUAUUUUCAUAAAUUUUAAUUUUACACAUAAUUUAAAAAAUAAAAUAAAAUAAGAUUUAUAAUAUUAUAGAAGUAGAAUUAUACAACAAGAAUAUUACAAAAGAAACUUACUAGAAUUUUUUGAAGAAGUUACCUAAAGACAUAAUUAUUACACAAAUUGAAAUAUUACAACACUAAUAGUCUAGUAAAUUUUCUCUGGAACUUCUAAAAUAUUGUCCAAACAAAUUUUGUGUAACCUAAAAUGGAGCAUUAAGAAAAUGAUUUUAUGUAAUAAUAUGGUAUUUUACUUGUAGUUUAAUAUUUAAUUAUGUAUUUCUAUUUAUAAUUUUAUAUUUUAGUAUAAGCUUUUAUUAAUUAAUAUUACGAUAAUAUUUUUAUCAUGUACUACUUAUCUAUAAAAGUUUUAUGGAUUUAUAUUAAUUAUGACAAAUAUAAAGAAUAUAGUGUAAAUUACAAAUAAUUUUGAAGUUAGAUUUGAAGUUUUUCUUUUCGAGAAAAACACUUUAACACUUUGAAUAUAGAAUUUGCAAAACUCUAUAAUAUAGAGUCUUAUUGGAGAUGUUCUUGCUCCAUAUUCGGUUUGAAAAUGUAAGUACUUGCUAUCAGGUUAUAAGUAUUUAAAUUUUAUUAAUUGUAAAUACAAAUCAAUAUCAAGCUUCGUUUCCUUUGUAACUACUUCACUCGUUUAUUUACCACUCAUUUUUCAUAUAAUAAUUAUACUUAAUAUUUAUUAAAUAGAGAUUUAUUAUUGGGUUCACCCCUUAGGGUGAAACUCUAGGUUCAUCAACCAAUAAGGUUUCGUUAUUUCAUAUUCGAUAUCUUUUAGAAAAAGAAACAAAAUAUUAUCAAGUUAUAUUAUAUUUUUAAAAUAAAAAUGAAACAAAUAAAUAAUAAAAAUAGUUGUUACAAAAAAUGAUUUUUUUAAAAAAAAAUUAAUGUCGUCAGAAAAACAUUAAACCCUAAAUCUUAAACCCUAAAUCCUAAACUGUAAACCCUUUGAUAAAUUCUAAAUUUUAAAUAAAAAAACUAAAUACUAAAACCCUAAACCCUUGAGUGUUUAAGUGUUAAGUAUUUUUGACUUAGAGUUUAGGAUUUAUACAAGGGUUUAGGGUUUACCCAAGAGUUUAGGACUUAGGAUUUAAGGAUUAGGAUUUAGGGUUUAGGAUUUAGUGUUUUGCUGACGACAUUAAAAUUUUUUUUUUUGUAACUACUACUAUUUUUUUAAUUUUUUUAAAACAUAAUAUAACUUGAUAAUAUUUUAUUUCUUUUAAAAAAUAUCAAAUAUGAAAUAACACAAUCCUAUUGAUUGGUGAACCUAGAGGUUCAAUUGCAUGAGAUAAACCCAAAAAUUAAGAUAUACUCUCUAUGUUUCUGAAAGUAAGAUUUUCUAAAGUGUUCACGCUUAUUAAGAAUUCAAUAAAUAUUUAUAAUUUAGUUUUUUUUUUACUUUAUUAAUUGUUUCCUUAAUAUGCAUGAAUACUCUAGAAAAUUUUUCUUUUGGGAAGAGAGAGAGUAAUAAAAAUGAUUCUAAUAAUUUUUCACCAAUAAAAUUUAAUCAAUUCAAAUAUUUUCAUUUAAUAUUUUUAAGAGUAUAAAAAACAUCUUAAACAUACAUAUAUAUAUGUACAUAUAUUUAGAACUUUAAUGGAUAGAACACCUAUUGGAGGUGCUCUGAAUAUCCAAAAAUUAGCUGAUACUUGCCAAAUGCAUAUCCCUAAUAUACAUUCAUGAACUUUCUUUAGAUAUACAGUAAAUUUGUGAGCUAAAGAAUAAAUUUGUGAUUUUUGAGCUCCGCGUUUGUUUGUAUAUGAAUAUAAAGUAAGAAGAUAGCAAAUAAAAUUUAAGUACAGAUCAAUAAUGGAGUUUUACAUUUUGCACGCCGAUCGGAUCAUGUUUGGUAAGUUUGCUGGCUUUUCAUCAGCGAGAUAUGAAAGAGAAUGAAUGACGAUGUGAGUUGAAUCUCGAGAUACACACACACUUGCCAUUUAUUUCAAGCUGACUAACUAAUUUGUUUCAUUCCCAAGGUUCUCGUUUACACAAUUGGUAUUAGCAGCAAGGAUAUAUACUCCUUCUGUUUUUUUUUUAUCGUAAGUAGUUUAAGCAAAAUUUGUUUGUUCAAAAUAUAAGUAGCUUUUAUAAUUUUAAAUAACUUUUAUUUUUAUUGGGUAUAGUGUUACCAAUCAAAUAAUAUAUACUUAUUUAUUAUUGGUUUAACUACACUUAAUUUAUAUAUCAAAUGCUAUUUUUGAAAAAAUUAAUAAUUUUCUUAAUAUUUGUCCAUUCAUCUAAAACUACUUACAAUAAAAAACAGAGGGAGUAGAAUACAAUUUUCUGCAGGCAAAAGUGAAGCAAAUCCAAAUUAUUUCAAUUUCAGACGGCAAUCAAUAUCUCAUUUUUGUUCACGGAUUAUAUAUGUCUUUUUUUCUCUCUUAUUUCAGUGUGCAUAUUUUCUUUGAUUGUAACUGUAAUGGUUGGUUUUCUUAAGUGAUGAUUGUUUGGAUGGUUUUUAGUUUUUGAUUUUUGGUAUCUAGUUUUCAGUUUUUGAAUUUUGAUUUUUAGUUUUUAGUUUUUGAUUUUUGUGUAGAUUUUUGUUUUUUUUUGAAAAAACUUGAAUGGUAAUAUCAAAUUUUGGUUUUUAGUUUUUAGUUUUUGUUUUGUAAAUUAAUAACAUGAAAUAUAUCAAACUAAAAAUAACUAUAUUGGAAAUAGUAAAACAAAAUAUAAUAUCACCAAAAAUACAUAAUUUUUUUAUAAAAUUCAAAAUAUAAAAAAAUAUUAUUAAAAAAUAUUAACAGCUAGAAUUUUAAAAUACAGACAAUAAAUUACACACGCAUAAAUGUGUAAUACUUAUAAUUGAAAAUAUAAUUAACUUACUAUAAGUUUUUAGUACAAAUAAAGUAGUGUAAUAAACAAUUAUUCUGAAAGAAAACUGACAGAAAAUAAACAACUAUU